rnacentral:rRNA from 1 species
GGAAGGAUCAUUAAUGAAAUGCAAGGACGUUCUUUUUAGAAGUUCCGACCCAAAUCAUUUUUCUUCUCACACUGUGCACUAUACUACUUUUUUACACCAUUUUUUAACACUUCAGUCUUAAGAAUGUAAAUCAAGUCUCUUAAUUGAGCAACAAACCAAGUAAAACUUUCGGCAACGGAUCUCUUGGCUCCCACAUCGAUGAAGAACGCAGCGAAAUGCGAUACGUAAUGUGAAUUGCAGAAUUCAGUGAAUCAUCGAAUCUUUGAACGCACCUUGCACUCUUUGGUAUUCCGAAGAGUAUGUCUGUUUGAGUGUCAUGAAACUCUCAACCCCCUCAUUUUGUAAUGAAAUGCAGCGUGGGCUUGGAUUGUGGUUGCUGCUGGCUUUCAUUAGUCGGCUCAACUGAAAUACACGAGCGACCCGACUUUAUAAUAAGCGUUUGACUCGGCGUAAUAACUAUUACCGCUGAGGAGCUUUCUAUAAUAAUAGUGGUGCUUCUAAUGCAUUAAUACAAUUUUAAGCUUUAGACCUCAAAUCAGUCAGGACUACCCGCUGAACUUAAGCAUAUCAAACCCGGGGGGGGAAAAAACUUCUUUAAGGAAAUGGCGGGACCUUCUUUUUUAAAAUCGACCCAAUCAUUUUUCUUCUCACA